rnacentral:ncRNA from 1 species
GGAAAAACGAUGACGGGGAGAGUACAUUCUUUUAGCUUAUUGUUCAGCGAGCCGGGACGGUGGAAGCCGGUAUAAGCGAAGAGUGGAAGAUCACCCUUGAGUUCUGUCUUUGAAAAUCCAAAACGGAUGUGUAGAAGACAGCGGUUUGUUCACGUUACGAAUGAAAGAGAGGGCAGACAGUUUGUUUGCCAAUAAGGGUGGUACCGCGGGAAUCAUCAACCUUCUCGUCCCUUUU